UUUUGGAUAGCCAAUUGGUAAAGGCACCGGAUUUAGUUUCCGCUAAACGGGGGUUCGAAUCCCUCUCCAAAAA
rnacentral:tRNA from 1 species